CUAAGCUUGGGAUAACACUGCGAAAGCGGUGCUAAUACCGAAUAAGACCACGGUAUCACAUGAUACAGUGGGAAAAGGUGGCCUCUGUAUAUGCUAUCACUUGGAGAUAAGCUCGCGGACCAUUAGCUUGUUGGUAGGGUAACGGCCUACCAAGGCCAAGAUGGUUAGCUGGUCUGAGAGGAUGAUCAGCCACACUGGAACUGAGACACGGUCCAG
rnacentral:rRNA from 1 species